CAAUCGUUAAAGGGCACUGACUGGUAUGAGGCAGGCGUAUCCUUAUAAGGUGCGUGACGUGGGACUGAGGCGUAUGUUGCGAGUAAGGAGAGAAACCGAGCACUUCAGCACUACUUUGGAAGGAACAGAGAGGGAGAGAGCUAGAUGCGGCGGCCGAGGGAAGGGAGCUAGACGUGGACCGAGAAGGUGACGCCGUGUCGUUCCCUCCUUCUACCCUAACCGCCCGCUCCCGGACGCCCCGCCGCUUCUCCCCUAUGAGGCCGCCCGAUGGUCGCCGCCGUCUCCGAAUCGCGGACGAAGAAGAGGACUUCCUAGUAGCAGUUGAGUGACGACGAGUAUCUCUGAAGGUUCCUGUCAAUGUUGUUAAGACCUCGUACAUAGCAGGAGUUAGGAGGACUAAAACGAUGGCAGUAAAGGUAUCGUAAGUUCUACAUUUUGGAGCUGGGCACCAUACUAAUUAUAACCCAAGGAUUCGAACUUUACAAAUACCGUACUUAUCAUGAACCAAGAUAGUACAAAUACAUCAUAGUUAAUAAAAACGACCUUCUGAUGGUACUCCGCAUUGACAUUGUGGGGCCUACAUUGAAAGGUAUAAACAUUGAGGUUGAGAACGGUAAAAACCGAUACACAAUACUAUAAGGGAGACAUCAACCCAAAACAG
rnacentral:rRNA from 1 species